rnacentral:rRNA from 1 species
UACGUAGGGGGCAAGCGUUGUCCGGAUUUACUGGGCGUAGAGCGCGUGUAGGCGGAGGGGAAAGUCCGGUGUGAAAGCCCCCGGCUCAACCGGGGAAGGUCGCUGGAAACUCCCCCCCUUGAGGACGACAGAGGGAAGUGGAAUUGCUGGUGUAGCGGUGAAAUGCGUAGAGAUCAGCAGGAACACCCGUGGCGAAGGCGGCUUCCUGGGUCGUGCCUGACGCUGAGACGCGAAAGCGUGGGGAGCGAACGGG